GUGCCAGCCGCCGCGGUAAUACGUAGGCAGCGAGCGUUGUUCGGAGUUACUGGGCGUAAAGAGUGUGUAGGCGGUGUCGUAAGUUCGGUGUGAAAUCUCCCGGCUUAACUGGGAGGGUGCGCCGGAAACUGCGAGACUUGAGUACGGGAGAGGGAAGCGGAAUUCCUGGUGUAGCGGUGAAAUGCGUAGAUAUCAGGAGGAACACCUGCGGUGUAGACGGCUUCCUGGACCGUUACUGACGCUGAGACACGAAAGCGUGGGGAGCAAACAGGAUUAGAAACCCGCGUAGUCC
rnacentral:rRNA from 1 species